rnacentral:rRNA from 1 species
UGGGGAAUAUUGCACAAUGGGCGCAAGCCUGAUGCAGCCAUGCCGCGUGUAUGAAGAAGGCCUUCGGGUUGUAAAGUACUUUCAGCGGGGAGGAAGGGAGUAAAGUUAAUACCUUUGCUCAUUGACGUUACCCGCAGAAGAAGCACCGGCUAACUCCGUGCCAGCAGCCGCGGUAAUACGGAGGGUGCAAGCGUUAAUCGGAAUUACUGGGCGUAAAGCGCACGCAGGCGGUUUGUUAAGUCAGAUGUGAAAUCCCCGGGCUCAACCUGGGAACUGCAUCUGAUACUGGCAAGCUUGAGUCUCGUAGAGGGGGGUAGGAUUCCAGGUGUAGCGGUGAAAUGCGUAGAGAUCUGGAGGAAUACCGGUGGCGAAGGCGGCCCCCUGGACGAAGACUGACGCUCAGGUGCGAGAGCGUGGGGAGCAAGCAGG